rnacentral:misc_RNA from 1 species
GAUGAAGAACGUAGCGAAAUGCGAUAAGUAAUGUGAAUUGCAGAAUUCAGUGAAUCAUCGAAUGUUUGAACGCACAUUGCGCCCACCAGUAUUCUGGCGGGCAUGCCUGUCCGAGCGUCAUUUCACCCCUCGAACCCCUCCGGGGGGUCGGCGUUGGGGAUCGGCCCUGCCUUUGGCGGUGGCCGUCUCCGAAAUACAGUGGCGGUCUCGCCGCAGCCUCUCCUGCGCAGUAGUUUGCACACUCGCAUCGGGAGCGCGGCGCGUCCACAGCCGUUAAACACCCAACUUCUGAAAUGUUGACCUCGGAUCAGGUAGGAAUACCCGCUGAACUUAAGCAUAUCAAUAAGCGGAGGA